ACACCAGCGCCACAAGUGGCAAUCACGUUUAUUGGGCCUAAAGCGUCCGUCGCCGGUUUAGUAAAUUUCCUGUGAAAUCGUUGAGCUUAACUUAUCGGCGUGCAGGAAAGACUGCUAAACUUGGGACCGGGAGGCGUCAGAGGUAUUCCUGAGGGAGCGGUAAAAUGCUAUAAUCUCAGGAGGACCCCCUGUGGCGAAGGCGUCUGACGAGAACGGAUCCGACGGUGAGGGACGAAAGCCAGGGGAGCGAACCGGAUUAGAAACCCGAGUAGUCC
rnacentral:rRNA from 1 species